GACGAACGCUGGCGGCGUGCUUAACACAUGCAAGUCGAACGGAAAGGCCUCUUUCGGGGGGUACUCGAGUGGCGAACGGGUGAGUAACACGUGAGUAACCUGCCCUUGACUUUGGGAUAACUUCAGGAAACUGGGGCUAAUACCGGAUAGGAGCUCCUGCUGCAUGGUGGGGGUUGGAGAGUUUCGGCGGUUGGGGGUGGACUCGCGGCUUAUCAGCUUGUUGGUGGGGUAGUGGCUUACCAAGGCUUUGACGGGUAGCCGGCCUGAGAGGGUGACCGGCCACAUUGGGACUGAGAUACGGCCCAGACUCCUACGGGAGGCAGCAGUGGGGAAUAUUGCACAAUGGGUGGAAGCCUGAUGCAGCAACGCCGUGUGCGGGAUGACGGCCUUCGGGUUGUAAACCGCUUUCGCUCAUGACGAAGCUUUGUGUGACGGUAGUGGGUAAAGAAGCACCGGCUAACUACGUG
rnacentral:rRNA from 1 species